rnacentral:rRNA from 1 species
AUUGAACGCUGGCGGAAUGCUUUACACAUGCAAGUCGAACGGCAGCACGGGGGCAGCCCUGGUGGCGAGUGGCGAACGGGUGAGUAAUACAUCGGAACGUGCCCGGUCGUGGGGGAUAACGUAGCGACAGUUACGCUAAUACCGCAUACGAUCUGAGGAUGAAAGCGGGGGACCUUCGGGCCUCGCGCGAUCGGAGCGGCCGAUGUCAGAUUAGGUAGUUGGUGGGGUAAAGGCCUACCAAGACGACGAUCUGUAGCUGGUCUGAGAGGACGACCAGCCACACUGGGACUGAGACACGGCCCAGACUCCUACGGGAGGCAGCAGUGGGGAAUUUUGGACAAUGGGCGCAAGCCUGAUCCAGCCAUGCCGCGUGCAGGACGAAGGCCUUCGGGUUGUAAACUGCUUUUGUACGGAAAGAAAAGGCUCUGGCUAAUACCUGGGGCUCAUGACGGUACCGUAAGAAUAAGCACCGGCUAACUACGUG